CGUGUAGGUGGACUAGUUAAGUCAGAUGUGAAAUCCCUCAGCUCAACUGAGGAACUGCAUUUGAAACUGAUUAUCUUGAGUGUGAGAAGAGAGAGCGGAAUUUUCGGUGUAGCGGUGAAAUGCGUGGAUAUCGAAAAGAACACCAGUGGUGCAAACGGCUCUCUGGCUCAACACUGACACUGAGGCGCGAAAGCUAGGGUAGCGAACG
rnacentral:rRNA from 1 species